UGAAUACGAGAUGCUACGGCGUCGAAGCAGUGUAUGUCAGACUUCCAAGAAAAGCUCGCAAUGUCAUAAAUAAAGAGUGCCUGUACCAUAACCGACACAGGUGGGUAGGUAGAGUAUACUAAGGGGCGCGAGAUAACUCUCUCUAAGGAACUCGGCAAAAUAACUCCGUAACUUCGGGAGAAGGAGUGCCUUCUUUAAGAAGGUUGCAAUAACAAGAUCCAAGCAACUGUUUAUCAAAAACACAGGUCUCCGCUAAGUCGUAAGACGAUGUAUGGGGGCUGACGCCUGCCCAGUGCCAGAAGGUUAAAGAAGCUGGUUAGCAAUAGCGAAGCUGGUGACUGAAGCCCUGGUGAACGGCGGCCGUAACGAUAACGGUCCUAAGGUAGCGAAAUUCCUUGUCGGGUAAGUUCCGACCCGCACGAAAGGCGUAAUGAUUUGGAUACUGUCUCGGAGAGGGACUCGGUGAAAUAGACUUGUCUGUGAAGAUGCGGACUACCUGCACCAGGACAGAAAGACCCUAUGAAGCUUUACUGUAACCUGAAAUUGAAAUUGGACUUUAUUUGCUCAGUAUAGGUGGGAGGCGUUGAAAGUAAUCUUGCGGGAUUAGUGGAGCCAUCAGUGAGAUACCACUCCUAUAAUGUUAGAUUUCUAACUUUGGAUCAUGAUCUGGUCAAAGAACAGUUUCAGGCGGGCAGUUUGACUGGGGCGGUCGCCUCCCAAAUGGUAACGGAGGCGUACAAAGGUUUCCUCUGAACGGGUAGAAAUCGUAUCUAGAGUGUAAAGGCAUAAGGAAGCUUGACUGUGAGACCUACAAGUCGAGCAGGGACGAAAGUCGGUCUUAGUGAUCUGACGGUGCCGAGUGGAAAGGCCGUCACUCAACGGAUAAAAGUUACUCUAGGAUAACAGGCUGAUCUCCCCCAAGAGUUCACAUCGACGGGGAGGUUUGGCACCUCGAUGUCGGCUCAUCGCAUCCUGGGGCGGUAGUACGUCCCAAGGGUUGGGCUGUUCGCCCAUGAAAGCGGUACGCGAGCUGGGUUCAGAACGUCGUGAGACAGUUCGGUCCAUAUCCGGUGUAGGCGAUAGAAUAUUGAGAGGAGCCUUCUCUAGUACGAGAGGACCGAGAAGGACAUACCUCUGGUGUACCAGUUAUCGUGCCAACGGUAAACGCUGGGUAGCUAUGUAUGGAGAGGAUAACCGCUGAAAGCAUCUAAGUGGGAAGCCCACCUCAAGAUGAGUAUUCUCAUC
rnacentral:rRNA from 1 species